AUGAUGGGGUGCUUAGCUCACAUGGAAAGGACUCUUCUUGUCCACAUGUCACUGGUGCCUGGAGUUCUGGCAGUCUCCCAGGAGAGAAAUCAAGAGAUAUCACCAAACAUAGCAGCAAAGGAUCAUAUCCUCAACACCCAAAGAGGAGCAGGCCACCUUUGCCAUGACUCUCAGCCUCGUCACCAACCUGAGGCUUACCCGGUCAUCCGGAUCUUUCCUUCACCUUGCUCCUGGAGUGUAGAGAUUCUAUAUUCUCUUUCAUCUGACUCCCGACAUCACUUCUCCAUAUUGACUGGGGGGCUGUUUUUCGGCUUGGAUUUUUCUUUCUUAAGACCCCGUGGGACCAGAGAAAGAAGAAAAUAGUCAUGUAGGGGAGCUUGCUUCCUGACUUCCCGAGCUGAUGUUGUUGGUAUGAGUUUCUUGUUCCUACUGUAGUACAUUACUGACAAACGUGGUGGUUUCAAAUAAUACAAGUUUACUGUCUUGUAGUUUGGGGGCUAGAGGUCCUAAAAUCAAGGGGUCAGCAGGGCUGCGUUCCUUCUGGAGGCUCUAAGGGAGAACACUUUCCCUGCCUUUUCUGGCUACUGGAAGCUGCCAGCACUCCUUGGCUUGUAGCCCCUUCCUCCACCCUCACAGACAGCAGUGCAACAUCUUCAAACCUUUGUCCCUGAGCUCUGCUUCCUUUGUUACAUCUCCUACUCAGACUCUGACUUUCCUGCCUCCUUCUUUCCCUUCAAAGGGCUCUUUUGAUUAAAUGGAUUUGUCAGGAUGAUUUCCCAUCUCAAGAGCCUUAACUGAAUCACAUCUUCAAAGUUCCUUUUGCCAUAAAAGGUCACAGAUUCACAGGUUUCAGGGUUUAGAACAUGGACUUCUUUGGGAGGCUGCUAUUCUGUCUGCUGCACUAUCCUUAAGCUUCACCUCCUAGGAACUCUCUAUUUAGACCACUCAAAAUCCACAUCAAAAGAGGCUGAAUCUCUUCCCCACUCAGGCCCCAUUUUCUCCCUAAGGAAUUCUUCUUGCCCUGGUGAAUGACAGCCCCCCACUUCCUGCCCUCGGACAUUCUCCUUCCCAUGGGGGUGAAGGCCUUUGCCUGCCUUAUGAGAUAACUAUAGAAAGACAAAUGGUGAGGCCAACAUCUGGUCAGCACAAACACACUCCUGGCAAAUGCUGCAUCUUUCCUAUCAUCAGCUAAGACCUCAGCAACAGGGGAACAAGAAAGGAUUGGUUAUUCUGUAUUUACUUGUGUCAGCUCUCUCAUUGGCAGAGACCAUUUCUGGGGUUCCAUCCAGGAAGAGGGGUUGGAGGACAAUGCUAAUAUGACCAUACAAUUCUUCUUCACAUCACUGCAACUUUGUUUUCCCUGCACAACUUUAACUCUUCUUUCUACCUAAUUCAGUGAUCACAGAACCAGAGCUGCAACUGGAUGCAAGGGCAGGGAUAAUCCCUAAGCAGGAAACUGUAACUAUACUUUUGAACUUUUAUGUCAGAAUUCCCAAACACCUGAUGGGGUAGACUGUGCCUUCAGCCCAUCUGGCAAAAUUGGUCUUGAUGAUGAAUGCAGAUAUAUUAUUGUCUAGUGGUCAAGACAGCCCACUAGUUCUGUAUGUGUGUAAACUCACCCUAUUAAACGGAAGUGAAUUGAGAGAGAAGCACCUGCUAGACCAGUAUUGCUAUCAGCAGUGUGUAUCUGAACAGUGCCAAAACUAACAGCCCUUCUAAAGGUAGAAAAGUUUGGAAAAAAAAACAAUGGUAGGCUGGGUGCAGUGGCUCAUGCCUGUAAUCCCGGCACUUUGAGAGGCUGAAGUGGCAGGAUCCCUUGAAUCCAGGAGUUUGAGACUAGCCUGGGCAAGUCUCAGAGAGACCCCAUCCUAUUUUAAAAACAAAACAAAACAAAACAAAAUGAAAAACAAUGAUAAAUGGAUAGAAGGAAGAAUAGUAGCUAAGGGUAAAUGAAUGAACAGAUGGGUUAUGAAACAAGGGAAUUCCAAUGUUACAAUGGUGCCUUUAUAAAAAUGAUAUUGUCUUUUAGCUUCAUGCAAAUGCCUGAAAGGAUGAAGCCAUGUAUUGCAAAGACCACUCCUGUUUUUGGGAACCUGACAAUGUUGAAUGGAAACCUGCAAACCUGAGUGGGUGGCAUUGCUCUGGGAGACAUUUUGGUCAUAUAAUGUGAUCAUGACCUGCACCAAACUGAUAAUGACUGAGUGAGAUUUUAGUAAUAUGCCUGUAUCUUUUGGCUUACUUUUCAGGUUACAUCUGCAACCAUACUUCAAUAUGGUGUAGCACUGGCAUCAUGGAUAAGAUUCAGUCCCCUUAUGUGAAUAAGUCUAAUGAUGGUACUGCUGUUGAUGACCAAAUAUAUCAGGAAAUGAAGUGAAAGCCUCCUCAGGAUAUAAUGCUGAUGGAAAAUGACUGGCCUUAGGAAACACUAGAUUUUGUUAAUUAUCAUCUAAUUGCUAUACUAAAUAGUUCUGGCCAGGUACGGUGGCUCACACCUGUAAUCUCAGCAUUUUGGGAGGCUGAUAUGGGAGGACUGCUUGAAUCCAGGAGUUUGAGAGACCAGUCUGGGCAAUAUAGUGAGAUCCUGUCCCUACAAAAACUGAAAAACUGAAAAAUAAAAUUAGCCAAGUGUGGUGGUGUGCACUUGUAGUCCCAGCUACGUAGGAGGCUGAGGGGAGAGGAUCACUUGAGCUUGAGCUCAGGAGAUCAAGGCUACAGUGAGCUGUGAUCACACCACUGCACUCCAGCCUGGGCAACAGAGAUCCUGUCUCUAAAACCAAAACAAAACAAUAGUUCUGCACAAGUGUAUUAUGAGAUAUAGAUGGUAGUAGAACAAGUCAUCAUAUCAGGACAAAAAUACGAAAAUGUAUGCAAUGACUUCCUAGACAGAUAAGUUGUUUCUUUUUUUAAAUUUAAUUUUAAUUGAAAAUAAAAAUUUUAUAUAUUUGUUUUGAACAACAGGAUGUUUUGAAAUAUGUAUACAUUGUGGAAUGGCUCAAUUGCAUUAAUUAACAUAUGUGUUAUCUCACAUAGUGUGACGUUUUUGUAGUAAGAACACUUAAAAUCUAC
rnacentral:lncRNA from 1 species